rnacentral:rRNA from 1 species
AUGGUCCCCGGGUCCAUUCUCUAUAUAUUUACAAGUUCCUACAAUAGCUAUCAAUUUACUAUUAUUAUUCUAGUUAUUGUCAUCCUUUGCUAUUUUUACUAUUAUUUGACCUUGUGGCUAGCAAGAACAAGGGGAGUGAUGGCCCCCUUGACUUUGUUGGGUGCAAGCAAAAAAAAAAAUUGUGCAGGUGUUGAUAACGUUUCUACGUGUGUUGCCUCCUACUGGUUUGUUAAACCUUGGUUCAUAAGUGAGGGAAAUACUUUUUGCUGUUGUGCUGCAUUGCCCUUCCUCUUCGGGAAAAUCCAACAACUCCUGCGGGAGUAG